rnacentral:rRNA from 1 species
UACAGGGGGUGCAAGCGUUGCUCGGAAUCAUUGGGCGUAAAGCGCACGUAGGCGGUUCGUUAUGUCUGAUGUGAAAGCCCUUGGCUUAACCGAGGAAGUGCAUCCGAAACUGGCGAGCUAGAGUACGAAAGAGGAUCGCGGAAUUCCCGGUGUAGAGGUGAAAUUCGUAGAUAUCGGGAGGAACACCGGUGGCGAAGGCGGCGAUCUGGGUCGAUACUGACGCUGAGGUGCGAAAGCGUGGGGAGCAAACAGG